rnacentral:rRNA from 1 species
CCUACGGGAGGCAGCAGUGAGGAAUAUUGGUCAAUGGACGCGAGUCUGAACCAGCCAAGUAGCGUGAAGGAUGACUGCCCUAUGGGUUGUAAACUUCUUUUAUAUGGGAAUAAAACAGGGUAUGCAUACCCUCUUGUAUGUACCAUAUGAAUAAGGAUCGGCUGACCCCGUGCCAGCAGCCGCGGGAAUACGGGGGAUGCAAGCGUUGUCCGGAUUUUUUGGGUUUAAAGGGUGCGUAGGCGGGGAGGUAAGUGAGCGGUGAAAUGCCCCCGCUUAACGGGGUGAAGUGCAAUUGAUACUGCCUUGCUGGAAUGCUGGUGCGGUGGGAGGAAUGUGUGGUGUAGCGGUGAAAUGCAUAGAUAUCACACAGAACACCGGUUGCGAAGGCAUCUCACGAAUCCGCGAUUGACGCUGAUGCGCGAAAGCGUGGGUAUCAAACAGGAUUAGAUACCCGAGUAGUC